GAUGAACGCUGGCGGCGUGCCUAAUACAUGCAAGUCGAGCGAACAGACGAGGAGCUUGCUCCUCUGACGUUAGCGGCGGACAGGUGAGUAACACGUGGAUAACCUACCUAUAAGACUGGGAUAACUUCGGGAAACCGGAGCUAAUACCGGAUAAUAUAUUGAACCGCAUGGUUCAAUAGUGAAAGACGGUUUUGCUGUCACUUAUAGAUGGAUCCGCGCCGCAUUAGCUAGUUGGUAAGGUAACGGCUUACCAAGGCAACGAUGCGUAGCCGACCUGAGAGGGUGAUCGGCCACACUGGAACUGAGACACGGUCCAGACUCCUACGGGAGGCAGCAGUAGGGAAUCUUCCGCAAUGGGCGAAAGCCUGACGGAGCAACGCCGCGUGAGUGAUGGAGGUCUUCGGAUCGUAAAACUCUGUUAUUAGGGAAGAACAAAUGUGUAAGUAACUAUGCACGUCUUGACGGUACCUAAUCAGAAAGCCACGGCUAACUACGUG
rnacentral:rRNA from 1 species